rnacentral:rRNA from 1 species
GUGUCAGCAGCCGCGGUAAUACGUACGAGGCGAGCGUUAUCCGGAAUUAUUGGGCGUAAAGCGCGCGCAGGCGGAUAUUUAAGUCGGUCGUGAAAUCUCCCGGCCCAACUGGGAGGGGUCGUCCGAGACUGGGUGUCUUGAGGACAGCAGAGGUUGGUGGAAUUCCUGGUGUAGUGGUGAAAUGCGUAGAGAUCAGGAGGAACACCGGUGGCGAAGGCGGCCAACUGGGCUGUCACUGACGCUGAGGCGCGAAAGCUCGGGGAGCGAACGGGAUUAGAUACCCCGGUAGUCC